GAACCCCGUGCGUGGCCCGCGAUCUACCCCCGGUGAAACCCCUUCGACGAGUCGAGUUGUUUGGGAAUGCAGCUCAAAACGGGUGGUAAAUUCCAUCUAAAGCUAAAUACCGGCCGGAGACCGAUAGCGCACAAGUAGAGUGAUCGAAAGAUGAAAAGCACUUUGGAAAGAGAGUCAAACAGCACGUGAAAUUGUUGAAAGGGAAGCGCUUGCGACCAGACCUGCCCGCGGACGAUCAGCCCCCGUUUUCGGGGGUGCACUCGCCCGCGACCAGGCCAGCAUCGAUCCGGGCGGCCGGAUAAAGGCCGGGGGAACGUAGCUCCCCUCCAGGGGAGCCUUACAGCCCUCGGCGCCAUACGGCCAGCCUGGAUCGAGGACCGCGCUCCGGCGAGGAUGCUGGCGUAAUGGUCGUCAGCGGCCCGUCUUGAAACACGGACCAAGGAGUCUAACGUCUAUGCGAGUGUUUGGGCGUCAAACCCACACGCGGAAUGAAAGUGAACGGAGGUGAGAACCCCCCCGGGGGGCGCAUCAUCGACCGAUCCAGAUGUCUUCGGAUGGAUUCGAGUACGAGCAUAGCCGUGGGAACCCGAAAGACUGGUGAACUAUACUUGAAUAGGGUGAAGCCAGAGGAAACUCUGGUGGAGGCUCGCAGCGGUUCUGACGUGCAAAUCGAUCGUCGAAUUUGGGUAUAGGGGCGAAAGA
rnacentral:rRNA from 1 species